AGCGAACGCUGGCGGCAGGCCUAACACAUGCAAGUCGAACGGAUCCUUCGGGAUUAGUGGCGGACGGGUGAGUAACACGUGGGAACGUGCCCUUUGGUUCGGAACAACUCAGGGAAACUUGAGCUAAUACCGGAGGUGCUCUUCCGGGGAAAGAGUUAUCGCCAUUGGAGCGGCCCGCGUCUGAUUAGCUAGUUGGUGAGGUAACUGCCCACCAAGGCGACGAUCAGUAGCUGGUCUGAGAGGAUGAUCAGCCACACUGGUACUGAGACACGGCCCAGACUACUACGGGAGGCAGCAGUGGGGAAUCUUGCGCAAUGGGCGAAAGCCUGAAGCUGCCAUGACGCGUGAAUGAUGAAGGUCUUAGGAUUGUAAAAUUCUUUCAGCGGGGACGAUAAUGACGGUACCCGCAGAAGAAGCUCCGGCUAACUUCGUG
rnacentral:rRNA from 1 species